GGUCCCAUGGCUCAGUGGAAGAGCGUUCCGUUCACACCGGAAAGGUCGCUGGUUCGAACCCAGCUGGGACCACCA
rnacentral:tRNA from 1 species